UACAGAGGGUGCGAGCGUUGUCCGGAAUCACUGGGCGUAAAGGGCGCGUAGGUGGCGAGCCAAGUCCAUGGUGAAAGCUCGAUGCUCAACAUCGAGUCGGCCACGGAUACUGGUGCGCUUGAGCACUGUAGAGGCUAAUGGAAUUUCGGGUGUAGCGGUGGAAUGCGUAGAGAUCCGGAAGAACACCGGUGGCGAAGGCGGUUAGCUGGGCAGUUGCUGACACUGAGGCGCGACAGCUAGGGGAGCAAACGGG
rnacentral:rRNA from 1 species